rnacentral:rRNA from 1 species
AUUGAACGCUGGCGGAAUGCUUUACACAUGCAAGUCGAACGGUAGAGGGGGCAACCCCUUGAGAGUGGCGAACGGGUGAGUAAUAUAUCGGAACGUGCCCAGUCGUGGGGAUAACGUAGCGAAAGUUACGCUAAUACCGCAUACGAUCUAAGGAUGAAAGCGGGGGAUCGCAAGACCUCGCGCGAUUGGAGCGGCCGAUAUCAGAUUAGGUAGUUGGUGGGGUAAAGGCUCACCAAGCCAACGAUCUGUAGCUGGUCUGAGAGGACGACCAGCCACACUGGAACUGAGACACGGUCCAGACUCCUACGGGAGGCAGCAGUGGGGAAUUUUGGACAAUGGACGCAAGUCUGAUCCAGCCAUUCCGCGUGCAGGAUGAAGGCCCUCGGGUUGUAAACUGCUUUUGUACGGAACGAAACGGUGAGCUCUAAUACAGUUUGCUAAUGACGGUACCGUAAGAAUAAGCACCGGCUAACUACGUGCCAGCAGCCGCGGUAAAGUG